rnacentral:rRNA from 1 species
AUACGGAGGGUGCAAGCGUUACUCGGAAUCACUGGGCGUAAAGCGCGCGCAGGCGGGCUGAUAAGUUGGAUGUGAAAGCCUACGGCUCAACCGUAGAACUGCAUCCAAAACUGUCAGUCUAGAGUCUGGGAGGGGAAGAUGGAAUUAGUUGUGUAGGGGUAAAAUCCGUAGAGAUAACUAGGAAUACCAAAAGCGAAGGCGAUCUUCUGGAACAGUACUGACGCUGAGGCGCGAAAGCGUGGGGAGCAAACAGGAGUAGAAACCCUUGUAGUCC